rfam:Myotis lucifugus cont2.1326, whole genome shotgun sequence.
CCUGCACUGGUGGGGUCCCUUGGCCUGGCCUGCACCCUCUCACAAUACAGGACCCCUCAGGGGAUGUCUGCAGGCCAGGCCAAGGGACCCCACUGGUGCAUG